UACGAAGGGGGCUAGCGUUGUUCGGAUUUACUGGGCGUAAAGCGCACGUAGGCGGACCUGCAAGUCGGGGGUGAAAGCCCGAGGCUCAACCUCGGAACUGCCUUCGAUACUGCGGGUCUCGAGUCCGGGAGAGGUGAGUGGAAUUCCUAGUGUAGAGGUGAAAUUCGUAGAUAUUAGGAAGAACACCAGUGGCGAAGGCGGCUCACUGGCCCGAUACUGACGCUGAGGCACGAAAGCGUGGGGAGCAAACAGGG
rnacentral:rRNA from 1 species